rnacentral:rRNA from 1 species
GAUGAACGCUGGCGGCGUGCCUAAUACAUGCAAGUCGAGCGAACAGACGAGGAGCUUGCUCCUCUGACGUUAGCGGCGGACGGGAGAGUAACACGUGGAUAACCUACCUAUAAGACUGGGAUAACUUCGGGAAACCGGAGCUAAUACCGGAUAAUAUAUUGAACCGCAUGGUUCAAUAGUGAAAGACGGUUUUGCUGUCACUUAUAGAUGGAUCCGCGCCGCAUUAGCUAGUUGGUAAGGUAACGGCUUACCAAGGCAACGAUGCGUAGCCGACCUGAGAGGGUGAUCGGCCACACUGGAACUGAGACACGGUCCAGACUCCUACGGGAGGCAGCAGUAGGGAAUCUUCCGCAAUGGGCGAAAGCUUGACGGAGCAACGCCGCGUGAGUGAUGAAGGUCUUCGGAUCGUAAAACUCUGUUAUUAGGGAAGAACAAAUGUGUAAGUAACUAUGCACGUCUUGACGGUACCUAAUCAGAAAGCCACGGCUAACUACGUG